rfam:Gossypium arboreum cultivar AKA8401 contig_48108_5, whole genome shotgun sequence.
UAUUAAAAUUUUAUCCAUUCCUACUGUUAAAAACUGACUUGGCUAAUGGAAUAACCUUAUAGUUAUAUGUGGUGUGCCACAUGUACCUAAUGCUGAUAUACAGGGAGUCAGAGACCAAUUUUUAAUAGUAAAAAUGGAUGAAACUUUUAACA